rnacentral:rRNA from 12 species
GCGAAAGCGAGUCUUAAUAGGGCGUUGAGUUAGAUGGAUCAGACCCGAAACCGAGUGAUCUAGGCAUGACCAGGAUGAAGAUUAGGUAACACUAAUUGGAGGUCCGAACCCACACCUGUUGAAAAAGGUCGGGAUGAGUUGUGCCUAGGGGUGAAAGGCCAAUCAAACUUGCUGAUAGCUGGUUCUCCGCGAAAUCUAUUUAGGUAGAGCGUCGAUCGAAUACUCUUGGGGGUAGAGCACUGACUGGGCUAGGGGUCCUCACCGGAUUACCAAACCUUAUCAAACUCCGAAUACCAAGAAGUACUAAUCGGCAGACACACGGCGGGUGCUAACGUCCGUCGUGGAGAGGGAAACAACCCAGACCGCCAGCUAAGGUCCCAAAUUUACAGUUAAGUGGGAAACGAUGUGGGAAGGCUUAGACAGCUAGGAGGUUGGCUUAGAAGCAGCCAUCCUUUAAAGAAAGCGUAAUAGCUCACUAGUCGAGUCGGCCUGCGCGGAAGAUGUAACGGGGCUAAGCAAUAUACCGAAGCUGCGGCAGCAUAGUUUACUAUGCUGGGUAGGGGAGCGUUGUGUAAGUGGAUGAAGGUGAGUUGUAAAGCUUGCUGGACAUAUCACAAGUGCGAAUGCUGACAUGAGUAACGAUAAUGGGAGUGAAAAACUCCCACGCCGGAAGACCAAGGUUUCCUGUCCCAUGCUAAUCAGGGCAGGGUAAGUCGGCCCCUAAGGCGAGGCAGAAAUGCGUAGUCGAUGGGAAACGGAUUAAUAUUUCCGUACUUAUAUAAUCAGUGAUGGAGGGACGGAGAAGGCUAGGCAAGCUUGGCGUUGGUUGUCCAAGUGAAAGCGAGUAGGCCGAGAAUUUAGGUAAAUCCGGAUUCUUAAAGCUGAGACGCGAGACGAGCUCCCAAGGGAGUGAAGUUGUUGAUGCCCUGCUUCCAGGAAAAGCUUCUAAACUUAUGAUUAUAUGAACCGUACCCCAAACCGACACAGG